AUACGUAGGGAGCGAGCGUUGUCCGGAAUUACUGGGCGUAAAGGGCGCGUAGGCGGCGCUUCAAGUCGUCUGUCAAAUGGGAGGGCUUGACCCUUUUUCGCAGACGAAACUGGAGAGCUUGAGAAGCAGAGAGGCAAACAGAAUUCCUGGUGUAGCGGUGAAAUGCGUAGAUAUCAGGAAGAAUACCAGUGGCGAAGGCGGUUUGCUGGCUGCAUACUGACGCUGAAGCGCGAAAGCCAGGGGAGCAAACGGGAUUAGAUACCCCGGUAGUCCUGGCAGUAAACGAUGUAUGCUGGGUGUGGGAGUAGCGAUACCUCCGUGCCGAAGUUAACGCGAUAAGCAUACCGCCUGGGGAGUACGGUCGCAAGAUUGAAACUCAAAGGAAUUGACGGGG
rnacentral:rRNA from 1 species